rfam:Hordeum vulgare subsp. vulgare, WGS project CAJW01000000 data, contig: morex_contig_57165
ACAAUCGAUGAUGAUGAACUGAUCUUCUACAUCGUCGUUGUGAUGGAAAUGGAAUACCAGCCCCUUGUCUCCGCCAACGACGCCCGCACCGACACCAUCAACCUCGACGACCUCUUCUCUCAGAUGAGCAACUUUGACC